CAAUAGCGUAUAUUAAAGUUGUUGCAGUUAAAAAGCUCGUAGUUGGAUUUCGGGGCAGCCUGGCUGGUCCGCCGCAAGGCGAGUACUGGUCAGCCGCCCUUCCUCUCGGAAGCCCCGACUGCUCUUUAUUGCAGUGGUCGGGUAGUUCGGGACGUUUACUUUGAAAAAAUUAGAGUGUUCAAGGCAGGCCUACGCCUGAAUACAUUAGCAUGGAAUAAUGGAAGAGGACCUCGGUCCUAUUUUGUUGGUUUCCAGGACCGAAGUAAUGAUUAAGAGGGACAGUUGGGGGCAUUCGUAUUUAAUUGUCAGAGGUGAAAUUCUCGGAUUUAUGAAAGACGAACAACUGCGAAAGCAUUUGCCAAGGAUGUUUUCAUUAA
rnacentral:rRNA from 1 species